UAUUCCAGUGCUUAACCACCCUGACAGGAAGUUUUUCCUAAUGUCCAACCUAAACCAUCCUUGCUGCAAUUUAAGCCCAUUGCUUCUUGUCCUAUCCUCAGAGGUUAACGAGAACAAUUUACUUCCCUCCUACUUGUAACAAUCUUUUAUGUAGUUGAAAGCAGCUAUCAAAUCCCCCCUCAUUCUUCUCUUCUGCAGACUAAACAAUCC